GCCGCUCCUGCGAAGGCCAGAGCCAGGUCUGCCCCGCCCCUGCGGCCAGUGUGACCUUCGACGGUCCACUCUUUCGGAGAAGCCCUUAUCAAGAGCCUCCUCUGCAAGGCGUUUAGACCCUUGGCCCCCAGUGGUCUAAAUCUCUGCGCCCUCCACUCAUCAGCUACUGCCCGCCCCCACCUCUCUGCCUCCACGCGCCCUUCUUGCAAAUGCUCUCUGGAGCUUUAGUUACCCCGGACUAACUCCCCGGGUUUUUCUCCUCCCUCUCAGGCCACUGCCUUUCAGCCCCAGAAGUUCUCUUCCUCUGGGCUGGGUCCUGAGCCCGUUCCUAAGGCCUUUCCCAGGGCUUCACCCCCAGACCCAGGCAGCUGCAGCGCCAAAUCUGUAUAUCCCAAACACCCCACUGCCGGCUCCACCCUCCUCCUCAAACUGCUCUUCCGCUGUCUUCACUUUCUUAGAACAUGGCCCUAUUCUGAGAUGCUUGGGCCAAAACCCUUGGAGGUAUCCUUGAGCCCUACGUCUGCCUCUACCACCCGACAAUCUAGAAAGGCUUGUUUACCGUGGAAUAUCGCUACUCCACCCACAAGUACAACGUCUUUUCUCAUGCAGACUAUUUACCCUCCUUGGUCUUGCCUGCAUCUGUUCUUCAUGCGUCAGGUUUUAAAAAGAAAUUAAAUUGCAAUCCCCUACCUCUGGCCUCAAACCCUCCAUGACUUCCCAUUGCAGGUUAAAUCCACACUCCAUCCUGUUCCAGCUGGUCCUGUGCGGUCUGGCCCCUUUCGUUCCCUCCCACUUCAUCUCUCCCCACCACUCUUCACUCUCCAUUCUCCAGCCACAAGGCCUUUAAGUGGUUAUUUGAAUAAUUCACACUCCAUCUUCCUGAAGCCAUUCUCCUAGACUUUCCCCUGCAAUGUGGCCAUCCCGUCACAGAAACUGAAGUCACAGUGGAGCCGGUCUGACAAAUGUUGAGUCAGGCAGAGCAGGACAACUUCAGAGGUGAGAGGCCCAGCAGAGCACCCACCUGGUACCAGAGAAAGAUCCAGGUUUCUGGAAUUUGUUACUGAUGAGGAAACUGAGAUUCAGGGCCAGGCACCGAGGGGCUCCAGAAAUCUCUGUCAACAGGAGCUCAAGUUUUCAGUCUGCUGCCAGGCCCUUAAUCAGAAAACAAGGCUCUGUUUCCUCCUGGGACUUCUAAACCAGCAUCCCAGGCCUCAGAUGAAAAAAAAAAAUGAGGCACAGAGAGAUGAAGAGACAUGCUUAUGGACAUAGAACUGAGGUGGGAGAGACGGGAUUCAAACCUAGGCAACCUGGCUGUGGAGUCAAUGCUAUGUCGCCUCCCAGGCCCAAGGUGGAUUUGACGGAUGGGGGAGCUGCUGAGCAAGCCCCCGGAUACCUGGCUAACAUAGCACUUGGAGGCCGUCCCGCUUUGCCUAUAGCUGGACUUGAGCAUCACCGAAGAACCUGACAGGAGGGAGUUUCUCAGACCCUACACAUCAGGCCUCUGCUCCUGGACAACACUGAAGUGUAAGGAGGGAACCAAACCUACUGGAGAAAUUGAGAGGAAUUCUCUCCUGACUCCAGGCUCAAGCAUUUCUCAGCGUCUUUCACAUCUGGCCCUCACCUCCCUGUUCAGCCUCUUCCCUCAUCUCCACUGGCCAGCAUGGACCUAUCUUUUAGAACAGACCUACAACUGGCCUCCUCAUAUCCCAGUCCAGACGGCCUCUCGUUUGCAAAUUAUCUAUCCAUAGUAGAUGCGGCUCCCAUAAUUUUGCGGCCCCACCAUCCAGAUCCACAUCACCUUAGACUGCAAGUUCAUCAUGGACUUCUCAAAAGUUUUGGGUGGUGCCCUCUGAUGGUUACAAAGAAUUGCAACAGCUCGGUUGGCACGGUUAUAAGACAGGAUCUUUGCUGGGAUGUUCUCAUCAGCUGUGAAGAAACAUGAUGAUAGAAGAGUUAGUUCGUAUACCUGAGGAGAAUAUACCACGUGCCUUCCCCAACAUUUCUUCCUCAUGACUCUGCCAGCCCUCACCUCACUAAGAUGAUCAAGUGCUCCAAGACACAAGGUCAAAACCUGAGUCAAGAGUCAUCACCUUGUUUCAAAGGCCACCCCUCCUCCCUGCCACCCAAUGCAGCCUGAAGAAAAUGCAGAAUUGGGGCAGAAGAGGUCUGUAGAGGAGGGCAAGGCAGAAGGAUCACAAGCUUUAUGUUUUAAAAUCAUAAGGCAGUAUAUCUGUUUUACAAAGAAACAUUAAAGUGUCAU